rnacentral:rRNA from 1 species
GACGAACGCUGGCGGCGUGCUUAACACAUGCAAGUCGAACGGAAAGGCCCUGCGUUUGUGGGGUGCUCGAGUGGCGAACGGGUGAGUAACACGUGAGUAACAUGCCCUUGACUUUGGGAUAACUUCACGAAACUGGGGCUAAUACCGGAUAGGAUCUCCUGCUGCAUGGUGGGGGUUGGAAAGAGUCGGCGGUUGGGGAUGGACUAGCGGCUUAUCAGCUGGAUGGUGAGGUAGUGGCUUACCAAGGCUUUGACGGGUAGCCGGCCUGAGAGGGUGACCGGCCACAUUGGGACUGAGAUACGGCCCAGACUCCUACGGGCGGCAGCAGUCGGGAAUAUUGCACAAUGGGCGGAAGCCUGAUGCAGCAACGCCGCGUGCGUGAUGACGGCCUUCGAGUUGUAAACCGCUUUCGCCUGUGACGAAGCGUGAGUGACGGUAAUGGGUAAAGAAGCCCCGGCUAACUACGUG